GCGGAUUUACCCAAGUGUUCAAGGGGCUUUCACUCCAAAUGAAAGUAGACUGUUAAGUCAGUGCGGGGGUUAAAAUCCCCCAGUCCGCC
rnacentral:tRNA from 1 species